rnacentral:rRNA from 1 species
UGAAGGACUUUACGGAGGGAAAACACAAUGACUGAGUGGCGGACGGGUGAGUAACGCGUAGGGAACCUGGCCCUUACAGGGGGAUAACAGAUGGAAACAACUGCUAAUACCGCAUAAGCGCCCAGCUUCGCAUGAGGCAGAGUGAAAAACUAAGGUGGUAAGGGAUGGCCCUGCGUCCGAUUAGCUAGUUGGUAUGGUAACGGCAUACCAAGGCGACGAUCGGUAGCCGGCCUGAGAGGGUGGACGGCCACAUUGGGACUGAGACACGGCCCAAACUCCUACGGGAGGCAGCAGUGGGGGAUAUUGCACAAUGGGGGAAACCCUGAUGCAGCGACACCGCGUGGGUGAAGAAGCGCUUCGGCGUGUAAAGCCCUAUCAGUGGGGAAGAAAAAGGACGGUACCCAAAGAAGAAGCACCGGCUAAAUACGUGCCAGCAGCCGCGGUAAUACGUAUGGUGCAAGCGUCAUCCGGAAUGACUGGGUGUAAAGGGAGCGUAGACGGUUGUACAAGUCUGAUGUGAAGGCCCACGGCUCAACUGUGGGAGUGCAUUGGAAACUGUAGAACUAGAGUAUCGGAGAGGCAAGUGGAAUUCCUAGUGUAGCGGUGAAAUGCGUAGAUAUUAGGAGGAACACCAGUGGCGAAGGCGGCUUGCUGGACGAAAACUGACGUUGAGGCUCGAAAGCGUGGGGAGCAAACAGGAUUAAAUACCCUGGUAGUCCACGCUGUAAACGAUGAAUACUAGGUGUUGGGGCCC